UGCAACUAAGAAAUUAUGGUUGGGGGAGUUAUGGGAUGUGUUUGUAUUCAUUUUACUUUUAGUUCAAUACUUCGCUGGUUAGCUUAAAAGUCACUGUUGCUGGUUGUUUGUGUUUCUCUCUUUCUUUUAUAAUUUCCUUCUUGCAUGUGUUGUUCUUUUUUCACCAUGCAUAUGUAAUUUCUGAUCCCUUCUUAUUUUCACAUCUAAUCUCUUCUAUGAUAUUAAUAGGAUGCCACUCAGGGUGUGGCAGGAUAUUCUCAGUUAUCUUCACAUCCUCUGCUGAUGCCACAUCAGGCAAAUCUUCCCAAAAACCAAGGAAUCGCAACAAUGCAAGCACUGCAGCUUUAUGUUACUCCAUUUUAGCUAAUGGGCAGCAGCCAUUUGCAGUUCCUUCGUACGUCCCUAUUUCAGCUCCAUUCUUUCCCAGUAUGGGUCCAUUCCAGUUCCAGGAUCUGAUGGUUCCUUAAGCGCCAAAUUUGUCUGUCAAUCGUGAAAUGGUCACCCCCCCUGAUACUUUUGUAUCCCCAUGAUGCGGAAAUUUUGGUGUAUGGUUUAGUAACCGGGUUAGCUAUGCUUAUUUGUAGCUUAGAUGUAGGUACUCGAUACUGUAAAUUGCAUUUAAGUGGAGCUAGUUGGUCUUGUUUCGGAAGUAUGGGUGGAUAUACAGUACUUCACCUGUAUGUGCGCUUUUGUUGAAUUGGCUAUUGGGGGUGCUUUGAAAUUUUGUACUACUACCAGUAGUGCUACUAAGAGCAGAGGCCAUUGAUUUUGUAAAAGUGCAAGGGACCCUAUUUUUGGUCAUCUUAUAUCUUGAAGCUUAAGUCAAUUUUUUGUUUGCCUUUAUCCGUAUUUGGUUGGAAGUGAAGGCUGUCGUACAUAUAUGUGACAUUUAUGAGCAUAAUUAGGAGAACAAUCGCUCCAAUUCUUUUAUCUUCAUAUCGUACUCAAGAUGCUUCCGAUGUGUUCUGGCU